UCCACAAACUCGUUUACUCUCUCUCCUUAUCUUCUAUUCUCCAUUACAUCUUCAUCUAGAUCUGCAGAAAUAGCUCGUCUUCCAUUAAAACUCGUCUUCCAUUAAAACUCUACUGCCGAUGAUACUCUACCAAGUACAGCUUCAGUUGUCUGGAAGCACCAUUAUGAGAAAUUUUUCUAAGCGUAAUUAACUUAGGGUAUCAUAGAACGCAUUUGUGAUUAUGAGGACUUGGUUGUCUUGAUUCAACUGAAUUAGGUUGUCUUGUGAAUUGAAUUUAGAUUGUGUUGUAAACUGAAUCCAGGUUUUAAUGAAGAAUUGAUGUUCCCUGAAGAAUUAUGAUUGUAUUCCCGAUUUUGUUUUGAAAUGUAAACUGAAACAUCUAUUUUGCCAAGGUUGUAAGUUCAACUUGUUAGUGCUGUUAAAUCAGAUUUUAAGCUUGAUGUAAACUAAAUAUAAAGAUGUUGGAUGUAGGUGGCUGGUGUUGUUGGUAAAUGAACUGCUCUUUUAAGUCAAUUUACAAAGGAAAAACAAGGAUUGUGGUUUACAAAAACUAUGAUGAGAUGAAGUAUGUUGUAAGUACAGGAUCAAAUGCUUACAUCUCUAAUCCAUUAGCAGAAAUGUCAGAUGAAGACCUUAUGUAAGCUUUUUGAGACUGGUGUUUCGUAACUGGAAUGCAGUGUGUCAUAUAAGAUGAGACAGUUUCCUUUUGCAAUGAAGUCGUAGCGCCGAAUACUCUUGGUUUAUUGAUAUGUUGUAGAUAGGCGAUGAAGUUGAUGCUCAAUUAGACUCGAGGAGGUCAACAUUGAUGGAGCUAGUUCAGAUGGAAUGCCAACUCCAAGCCGGGGAUGGUUACAACUGAUCUUCUUAUGUCUGGGGCCAUGAUGAAGCAGGCUAAGUUUUUCAUUAACAUCCUGGAAGAACCAGCUGAAGUGAAUGCAGCGUACAUACCAUAAGAUACCACAGUUGAUACUUAAAUCAUACACUGGUCAUCCACUCAAAUUCUGAUACUUGGAUGUUGUGUGCAUUUAUUUCAUUUUGUUGGCUUAGUCUGGUGGUGGACGGAAUUAGGUUACAAAAUGUUCUGUUCCCAACAUCAGAUCCAUCCCUACCUACGAAGCACACUUAUAUUCGUUUCCUCACUGGGUUGAAAGCAUACUCCCAGAUAUCUCAGUUGGAUGUUGGAGAUGGCAAAGAAGCAAGUCUCGAAAGGUACCCAAGGAGCACACAUCAACCUCAGUGCAUCGAAUAUAUUGGACUGGGAGAGUUUAAUUCUAAUGGGAUGUCUCUGGUUCUUUGUUGGCUUCUUGCUUCGACGAUGGAAUAUUGCAGUAGAAUCUGCAGUUAAAAUUCUUGAAUGGACACAAUCAAUAUCCAUCAAUGGAAGUUAGAUAUUGAAUCAGUUUUUCGAACAACAUAAGAUGAUGCUUGUCCUGCCAUUGAUGAAAAGCAUUCUGUUAAGUUCCGGCUUUGCAUUCGAUGAGCUUGGUCUUCUAAAAUGGAUUCAGGUUAAAUAUUGUAUCAAUAUGUUGUCAUCUUUGUAUGAUUAUUCUUUGGGUCAUGAUAAACAAGGACCACUAUCCAUGUAUAUAUAUCUCAAGAUAGAACAUUGUACGUCUCUAACUGUGAUACUUGAAGUUCACAUUGUGAUUUUUUUUU